UCAACAAGUGCAAUUAGUGAAGAUCGGUCCAAUAAAUAAUAAAAAUAAUAUUUUAUAAAAGUUUGUUGUAUUUAAUUUGUGAAAUAUUAAAUUAUAUAUUAAGAAAAAUGUGAGUUUCGAAUAAAAUGGUACCGAACUUAAUAAAAUAUUGUAAGAAAAUCAUGUUUUAUAAUAUUCGAUUUACCACGUUUUAUGAAAAUUACAACGUCCCAAAAAGAGGAACGAACUUAACUUAAGAAUAGUUAAUUAUAUAGUUCAAGAGUAAAAAUUACAGUAAUUGAAAGCAGUGGCGCCUCAAACUAAAAAGGAAAAGAAAAACAAAAAUCUGUCAAAAAAUCACAUACAAAUAUCAAUUACGGUUAUUUACUAUUUUUCUAUUUCUUUUAUACUCACAUAUUAUGAAAUUACGAUAUUAUUAGGUUCGUAUACUACAAAAAAAAAAGACUAAUGAAAAAUUAUGAAAUUUUGUGUGUUAAUUUUCCAAAUACCAUAAAUAAUUUAACCCUUCAGCAGUUUACAAUUUUUGAUUUUCGUUUUCUUCUAUUUCGAAUUUUACUUGCUCUCUUAACUCUUAAAAGAGGUGCAAAAACUAUGUUUACAAAAAAUUAUAAAAAUAUCAAACUUCCUUCAGACAAUAUCGUUAUUGAGAAAUAAACUUGUCGUACUAUAGUGACAACAAUAAUAUAACAAGAAAAAACAAAAAACAACCAAAAAUACAUAUAAAAUUUCAAAAACAAAAAAAAAAGAGAAAAAAAGUUGGUUAAAAAAAGAUUUACCUUCAUAUAUUGCAUAAUAGGUACGGCGGAUUCGAUUAUUUUGUGUAAUUUUUUUUUCGCACUCUACUUGAUUGUGUGGUGGCUUUGAUCGUAAAGUAAAAAAUACCUACUCCAGCGGAGAGACAGAAAAGCAUUUGCAAUAAGUGAAACCAGUCUGUAUGAUACAAAACAACAUCAGAGAAAAUAAAAACAAAAAUUUUUCUUUUAUCAUUAUUACUGCAAUGCGACAAAAAUGUCGUUUUUUCUCAGCAACAAAAUAUUUUAAUGUUGAUUUGACAAUACAUAAUUGAUGUAGUAGGCAUUUUUUUUUACUAUUGCUAUAAAUUUUUUAUUUUAUUGAUUUUCUUCUUGUAAUUUUCUAUAAUAUAUUUAAUGUUGUAUAGAAAGAGAUAGAACGAGAGGAAGGAAAUUAAUUUUCUACUGUUUUUUUUCUCUAUUUGUUUUUUCUUUAUUUUCUCUAAAUAAAUAAACUAAGUUCAAAAGAUCAAUAACUUCCGAGAAAAUACAAUAAUCAAAUAUUGAAAGAGAAAAACAAAUAUAACAAAAUUAUGCACUACAAUAAAAAUUUAAAUAUUGAAAAUGCAAGCAUAUUAUAAGCGGCAAUAGAUAAUGACGUAGCAAAAAUAUAUUACAAAAUAUAUUUUAAAUAAUAAAUAUUAUUAAAAGUUAGGAUGAGUUGUUGAAUAUUUCUAUUGAAAUAAGUUAAAACUGUCAAAUUUAACAAGUAGCGCACUGUAUAGGAAAAAAGUAAAGGAAUUGUCAGCACCAGCAUUAUUAUUACAUUUGUGAAUAAAGUGUGCAGUAUUCAAUUCGUAUUAGAAUUAGAAUUUGUAGUAAAAAAUCAAAAUGGAUACUAUAAAAAGAAUUGCAUUAGCAAUUUACGAUAUUCUAACACUAUACAUGAAAUUUGCAUUUUUAGCAUUAAUUAUUUUUAAAUUAUUUGAAUGGUAUGCUAUUAUAUUUGACGAAAAUUAUUAUCAUGGUAGUAGUACAAGUGACAGUGAUAGUACAAGUAAUAAUAAUAUAAAAAAUAUUACUAAUAGCAACAGUCCUAUGACUAUUAAAAGUGAAUUAUAGUUAAAAAUAAAAAAAAAAAGAGUUGAAAGAAAAUCAAAAUUAUGAAUAAAUUUUAUUAAAUAUUCAAUUUUUGACAUUUUAUUACCACACAUAUUUGAAAUGUCUAAUGUAUGUAUGUAGGUACAUGUAUGACAUUAUUAUGAACUUGUUUGGAUGCGUUUAUUUAUUUAUAUUUUUCUUCUCUCUGUAUAUUAUAUACUAAUUGAUUUUUCAAUAAAACAUAAUAUUUAAAUUUCAAAAUAUCAUAUUUUUAAAUAAAAUCGUCGAACAAACAUAAAAAAAAUAGUAGUAAUAAUAAAUAAAAUAAAUAAUAAUAAUAAUAAUAAUAAAAAAAAUUUAAAACUGUCGAAGGUCAACUGUCAAUAUUUAAAAAAGAAAACAAAAAUAAGAAAUGAAAAAAAGAAAAAAAAAACAGAAAUCCGUUUUGAUCGCAGCCAAAAGAAAGAGAAUGCACACGUUAAUGACAAGACAACCAUUUAAUACGAAACAAAAUAUUUUUCAAUUUUUUUAUAUAUAAAUUUUAAUGCAAAUUGUUUUCAAUAUUAUAAGGUGAAUGCAUUAAAAUAGAAAUUAAACAAAAAAUUAGUUUAGAAAGAAAAACAAAACGAAACUGAAAAGCGUGCACUACAAAAAAAAUGUUACUAAUCAGCUGAUUAAUUAAAUUAUAAAUAAGCGUUUUAAUUAUAUUGUGCUAGAAUUUAACAACUAAAUUGAAUAAAGUUAAGAGUUUCAACACAAAUACUUAGGUAAAAAACAAAAAAAAAAUCCGUUUGAUUGUGUUUGAAUAAUUGUGUUGAAAUAAUAAAAUAUUGCAUUGUUGUGAAUUGUACUGCGGUGUUGCAUUCUAUUUGUAUGAUAAUAUUCGGCAAAAAAACGAAUGUGUUAAUUAUAUAGAUAUGUUUUUAUACAUGUAUGUACAUCUUAGUUAAACAGUUGCUGGGAUUUAUUAAAAAAAAAAUACUUUUACAGGCUAUUUAUAAAAUUCUUAAUACUAAUCCAACAUGUUCCGUAAUGAAAAUGUUGCGUCAGCACUUCAUUCUUGAAAAAAAUAUUCGUUAUGUCAUGCACUUGUUUACUUUCUGCCUGCUGAAAAGAUGUAGAGUCGGCGUUUUAGCUGGUCGAAGCGUUCUUUAUUAGAUUUGGUUAGAUUUGAUGUUUCUUAUAUGCACUCGCAGUUUUCAUGAAGGUAUGAAAAUGUUGCGUGUGUGACGUAACGUAAUUCUAGUAUGCUGAUUUAAUAUGAUAUUUUCCUAACUCUUCCACUUCUAAAGAUCUGCGUCCUGUAGAUUAAAGUUGUAUGAUAUUUCAAGUGGGAGCUGUAUUUGUAAGGUUGCGAUAAUUACUUGCUUUGAUCGCUCCCUUGCUUGUAAGAUUAUGAAGAUAUCGAUGAUGCUGAUGAUUAAAAUGAAGUUAAUGCACAUUAACUUCAUUUCAAUUAUUAAGGUGAAGUUAAUGCACAUAGUCCAAGUUGAGAUUUAUGCCUUUUUGGAGAAGUUUUGUUGAAAUAGGGCAGCUAAUACUUGUUUUGUUAUUAUUGAUGAGCUUACGAGAGUUUUAUCUUUGAUUUGAAUACUUUCGUUGUCGUGUUGUACGAUGAAACUAAAAAUGAUGACGCUAAUGAUCGAAGGCCUUCGCCACAUCUGAAAAGGAUCCAAAGGCAAUUUUUUUUGCCUCCAACGUCCUUUAUAUCUCCUAUUUCUUCUUGUGAAUGAUUUUGGCCUGUUCUGGGAACCUUUUUUUUUCGAUUUAACCUCCAGCUUGGGCUUAUCAGAUCUGUCUGUUGCCUUUAGCGAGCUGUAAAAUCUAUUCCUUUUUUUUGUACCAUUAGGCUUCAAGAAAACCUCUCUGGCCUCACCUAUAUUAAUCCCCCUGUUCAGCAGCCUUUUAAAGCGCUUCUUCGCUUCGCCACUCAUUUUCCUCUUCUUCACUUAUGGCAAAGUAGCCAUUCCCCGGUCACCCGUUGUAGAAAAACUCAAUACUAGUUGAAGCAGGAUGGCACAUGGUAUCCAGAGUGCUCGUCGCUUUCUCAUUUGAUUCACCGAGCUACUAUUGAAUUGUAGAAAUUUCUCUUGUGCACUGGUAUGCUUCAGAAAUUUAGAUUUCGAAUUUUCAGAACAGUAGGCCUCAGGUAGUUUGAGUGGUCUCUGGAUUAUCACCAUGCGCGAGAGGUCCCCAUUUAGUUCUCUUAUAAACACAUCUAACGCCCCAUUCCUGUAAGUUUCAACAAGAGCAUUCACGGUAUAUGGGGUGCAGCUCUCUAUUUUAAUUCUAUUGAUUAUUAAAUAUUAACUAGUGGCCUUUUUUAAAAAUGUCAUAUGAUGAUCACAUGUUUCCGCUACUGACCAUUAUCUACAAAGUUGGCACUGACAUUCAAUCAUUUGACUUUUGAAAUUAUUCACACUUGCAAAAAGCCAUUUGAAAUUUUUAAAUUCAAAUGUAAUUUGAUGUAAGUUUAUUCGUUUGAAGUUUAAAAAAAGAAUUUAUUUGGAUGUUAAUCCAAAUCUUUAUUGUGCUUCAAUUGAAUUACAAAAUUA